UUUAUGUCAUGAAUAACUGCUUUAUAUAUAAAACGCAGAAAAGAAGACAACUCAUCAUCAUUUACAAUGAAGACGCUGAUAGUUUUACUUUUAGUUGUUAGUGUACUUACAAGCGCAUUUUCUCUAGGAGAUGAUGCCAGUCUGCCAGAGGUUGCACAGGCAAGUCGUCUGAGAAGGGCAGUGAUGAUAGCGGCAGCAGUAGAUCAGAAAGAAAAAAAGGCACCGGAAUCUUGAUGAAACGGAUGAAAGAAAUGACAGUAAUUUAAGACUCCAGCAGGCAACUAGACUAUGGUCAUUAGCCAUUGGCAGUCUUAAGUUACACAUUUCGAGGUUUCAAAGUUUGGUACAUUGUAUUCACCGCCUGGUACUGAAUGACUACCGGAUACUUAAAACUCGUGCAGAGCAAGUUCCAGUUAGAUGUUACCAUUGGCAACGGAUCAGUGUCAUAUACUAGUAUAUUUGUAGAUAAGAUGUAAAUUGUUGUAACUUCCAAGAAUACGUACAUAUAAACAUUGUACAUUGAAUGAUUUAUUAUGGAGCGGACUUAUCGUGAAAAGUUUUGUUGAAAAUAAUUCAUUUUUUCAAAUAUUUUGACAUAAUACAACACCAGUAUGUUUUUAUUUUAGCAAGUAUGCUUUAUGUAAUCGUUUAUUCAUUUGUACAGUAACAUUUGUAAUAAUGUUUACAGCUUAAAACCUGAUAAAAUUUGUAGCUCA